CUCUCGACUCAGCCUCAACUUGCGUCGAAUCUACCCAAAAUUAGAAUCAUAACAUCAAUGUAUGCUAAAGGAACAAAGCUCAUGCGAAAAUAAUCAAAUUACAUCAAAAAUCCUGAAAUUGGUCAAACCCGACCCUUGGGCCCACAUCUUGGAAUCCGAUAAAAUUACAUCAAUAGAAUCCUUAUCCUCCACGAGUCCAUACAUACCAAGAAAAUCAAAAUUGGACCUCAAAUGGCCCCUCAAAUCCCUAAUUUACACUCUCUAAUUUCAAGCCCUAAUUCCCCAAUUUUAGGCUUUAAAUCCCACUAAUUUCAUGUCUAACUAGUUAGAAAUCACCAUAGAAUCGAGUAUUGAGUUCAAAAAUCUUACCUUCAAGUGUUUCCCUUCAAAUCCCUCUCAAAAAUCUUCAAACCCGCUCAAUAAUGGUGAGAAAUGGGCUAAAAAUCGCGAAGAUGGCCUUAUAUACAUUCUACCUAGAUAAUUUUCCUUAAUCGUGAUCGCAGAAAGACCCUCGCGAUCGCAAAGCACAAAAAUUGACUUCCCUCACUUUAACCCUAUGCGAUCGCGUAAAACUCCACGCGAUCGUGAUGCACUGCCUUUGCUAAAUCACGCGAUCACAACCUCUCCCACGCGACUGCAUAGAACAACCUUUACCACUUUACACCAGCUCUUUCUUUUCUAUGCGAACGUGACUUUGGCCACGCGUUCGUGAACCAUAACCUCACAACCAAUCGUGAUCGCGUUCUGACUUUUGCGAUUGCAUUGAUCAAAUUUCACCUCUGCCCCACAAAGCCUACGUGAUCAUGGAGUCUUCUACGCGAUCGCGAAGAACAAAAUGUCUGCAACAGAAUACCAGAAAACCUGUUAUCUCCUCAAGUCCAAAAAUGCCCCAUUGAGCAUCCGAAACAAACCCGAGGCUCUCGGGACCUCAACCAAAUAUUCCAACACAUCUCAUACCAUCAUUUAAACUUGUUCCAACCUUUGGAACACUCAAAACAACAUCAAAACAUCAAAUCACCAUCGGAUUCAAGCCUAAGGAUUUCCAAACUUCCGAAUUCCGCAAACGAUGAAAAAGUCUAUCAAACCUCACGCGAAUGACCUCAAAUUUUGCACACACGUCACAAAUGACACAACGGACCUAGUCAAAUUUCUAGAAUUCCAUUCCGACCCCGAUAUCAAAAUUUCCACUGCGACCGGGAUAUGCCAAAUUUUCAAUUUCGCCAAUUCAAGCCUAAAUCUACCACGGACCUCCAAAAUACACUCUGAUCACUCUCCUAAGUCCCAAAUCACCUAACAAAGCUAUUCGAAUCAUCGGAAUUCACAUCUGAGGCCUUUUUUUACAUAAGUCAACAUCCAGUUGACUUUUCCAACUUAAGCUUACUCAAAAGAGACUAAGUGUCUCAUUCCUCUCAAAAAUCACUCUGAACCCGGACCAACCAACCCGAUACCGCAUAAUACUACUGAACAACAUAUAAAGAAGCAGAAAUAGGAAAAACGAAGCGGUAACUCAUAAAAUGACCGGUCGGGUCUUUACAUCAAGUAACUACACAAUACCAUAAAAAUAACGGAGUCACAAUUCACACGGUGCAUGCCCACACGCCCGUCACUGUCACACCUCCUUUUUACACCCGAAAGGGUUAUAGAGGAGUUUUUCCAAUAAAAGUGACAAUAAUUGAAACAUGAUUAUUUAUUCAAAUUCAGAGUCACCACUUGGGAUAAUUUAUGGUGUUCCAAGUCACCGGUUUAAAAUUCCGAAUCAAGGAAAGUUUGACUCUUAUUUAUGGUCUGCGAAUAUAGAAAUUCGGGUAUGGAAUUCUGUUAACCCGGGAGAAGGUGUUAGGCAUUCUCGAGUUCCGUGGUUUUAGCAUGGUUGCUCAAUUAUUAUUAUUGGUCUAAUUAUCUGAUUAAUUAUAUAUUUUAAACUUGUUGUGCAUUCUUUAACCUUUGACCGCUUUUAAUUAUUUAUGGAAUUAUUCUAGAACAAGUUACGAUUGUCGUACACUUAUUUGUUUGGUAUACAUUGCGAAUCGUGUCACGGGAACUGUACCCACGGUUUACAACAUGUUUAAAUUAUUAACGUUAUUAGUUGUUAUGGUCGGGUCACAUAAAUGUGCACCCGAAUUUUGGAAAUUACGUAUCACGACUACGUCAAGGGAACCGUACCCAUAGCUAUGAUAAUUUUAUUAUAGAGCACCUAAAGCAAACUACGGUAUUCAUGAACUAACUAAUUGGUUUUCUUAGACAAUUGAGCCCACAACCUAAUUCUAUCGUAAAAACAUGGAAAACUACCACAAACUUGUCAUGCAUUUCCCCCAAUAGUUCUGAAAAUUCCCGAAGAUAUCACAGUAAAUAAAACCAAAAGAAAAUGAAACAAAACUAAUUUAAUUGGCAUGUCAACCAUUGAACCAAAUAACACCAAUGCAGCAUGAUUAACAUAUAAUCCAAAAGAAUCUAAAACAACACUCUGUAUUUUUAGCAAACGUGAGCACGAAAUUAAAACGAGUUUACACAAAUAACUUCGACAUGAAUUAACAAGAGUUAGAGUUGGACCUUGAUUAGCUUUCAAUAGUAUGUCUCUGUUUAGAAUGUGUAUACAAACAAAUGAACGCUGAGAUCCAAACAACCACAGAGAUUCGACAACUCGAACUUGAAUGGAAAUAAUGGACGACACUUCUAUCGGGAUCAACGAACGUCAACCUCGGAUUUUCACAAAAACAAUUGAACUUCAAAUGGGUUUAACAAAGGCAGGAACGGACUGUUUUUAGGCAAAAAUGAAGGCUCUCCAGUGACGAAAUCCGACUGAGCCAACUAUAUGAACACACAAAUAGAAAAUCAGUAGAGACAAUCGAGGUUGCCGGAUCUCGUCACUUCCGACAACAUAGCAGUGAAAAAUGAGAGAGAAAGGGCGAGAGAUGAGAGCGACAUGAUAGUAGUAGCAUUCGCCAAAUUCAAUGGAGAUUCACCGGAUUUAAUGGAAGUUAGUCACCUCCGACGACUUUGUCAUAUAGUAACGAUGGCAAACAAGAGGGAUGAUGGAGAUGGGUUGAAUGCCGGAAUUCCGGCGAGGAAGGUGGUGCCUGCUGCGGUUGCCGGUUUUGAAGAAGGGGUGGCUGCCGUGAAGGUGUGAAAGGUCGAUCUUCAGUCUCUCUUUGGAGUUUAGGUUCGUUUAUUGUUCAGGUUUUGGUGGAAAAUGGCUAGAGAUCUGCGACUAUGGCUGCUUGGUUUGAUGAAGAUGAAGACGCAGGAACCGCUAGGGCUAGUUGAUCAGCUAGGGUUUUUUAGGUUGUCUAGUGUGCUAAAGAUUUGGUCGUUUUUGCUGGAGAAGGAGAAGAUAGGCUAGGUUUUUUUGGUUGUCAAGAUUAGGAAGAUGAAGGGUCUCCUUUUGUUCCCCAAAAAUGGUUGAUCCUUUUGUCUAGGUUAGGGGUCCUUUUUUAAGUGUCUUUCUAGGGUUUUAAGGGUAUUGUGCUUGGGUUAUUAUGGGCUAGAUCCGAAUUAGGCCAAAUUUGGCCAAAUACACCUUUAAAAGUGGCCCUUUAAUCUAGUAGAUUAAAAAUAUUAGCUCCUAAAAUAACAACUACAAAAUUAUGAAAUCAU
rnacentral:lncRNA from 1 species